ACUCCUACGGGAGGCAGCAGUGGGAAUAUUGCACAAUGGGGGCAACCCUGAUCCAGCGAUGCCGCGUGUGUGAAGAAGGCCUGAGGGUUGUAAAGCACUUUUAGUGGGGAGGAAAGUUAACAGGUUAAGAGCUAGUUAAGUUGACGUUACCCACCAUAAACAGCACCGGCUAACUCUGUGCCAGCAGCCGCGGUAAUACAGAGGGUGCAAGCGUUAAUCGGAAUUACUGGGCGUAAAGCGCGCGUAGGCGGUUGUAUAAGUUGGAUGUGAAAUCCCCGAGCUCAACUUGGGAAUUGCAUUCAAAACUGUACGGCUAGAGUGUGGGAGAGGAAGGUAGAAUUCCAGGUGUAGCGGUGAAAUGCGUAGAUAUCUGGAGGAAUACCGAUGGCGAAGGCAGCCUUCUGGCCUAACACUGACGCUGAGGUGCGAAAGCAUGGGGAGCAAACAGGAUUAGAUACCCUGGUAGGUCAGU
rnacentral:rRNA from 1 species